rnacentral:tRNA from 1 species
GGCCCGUUAGCUCAGUUGGUUAGAGCGUGGUGCUAAUAACGCCAAGGUCGUGGGUUCGAUCCCCCCACGGACCA